rnacentral:rRNA from 1 species
AGAGUUUGAUCCUGGCUCAGGAUGAACGCUGGCGGCAUGCCUAACACAUGCAAGUCGAACGGACAAGAGAGCUUCGGUUUUCUUGUUAGUGGCGGACGGGUGAGUAACGCGUGAGGAACCUGCCUUUCAGAGGGGGAUAACGUUUGGAAACGAACGCUAAUACCGCAUAAUGUUACGGGACUGCAUGGUCUUGUAACCAAAGGAGCAAUCCGCUGAUAGAUGGCCUCGCGUCUGAUUAGAUAGUUGGUGAGGUAACGGCCCACCAAGUCGACGAUCAGUAGCCGGACUGAGAGGUUGAACGGCCACAUUGGGACUGAGACACGGCCCAGACUCCUACGGGAGGCAGCAGUGAGGGAUAUUGCACAAUGGGGGAAACCCUGAUGCAGCAAUGCCGCGUGAAGGAUGACGGUUUUCGGAUUGUAAACUUCUGUUCCAGAUCAUGAAAAAAAUGACUAAUCUGGCAGCAAGCCACGGCUAACUACGUGCCAGCAGCCGCGGUAAUACGUAGGUGGCGAGCGUUAUCCGGAUUUACUGGGUGUAAAGGGUGCGUAGGCGGGAUAGCAAGUUGGAUGUGAAAUACCGAGGCUCAACUUCGGAGCUGCAUCCAAAACUGUUAUUCUUGAGUGGAGUAGAGGUAAGCGGAAUUCCGAGUGUAGCGGUGAAAUGCGUAGAUAUUCGGAGGAACACCGGUGGCGAAGGCGGCUUACUGGGCUCUAACUGACGCUGAGGCACGAAAGUAUGGGUAGCAAACAAGAUUAGAUACCCUGGUAGUCCACGCAGUAAACGAUGAGCGCCAGCUUUCCGGGCCCGAUUGGGGGGCAGGGUGGCUCAGGGAAAAGCGUUAAGUGCUCCACAUGGGAGAGUACGCCGGCAGAGGUGAAAUUCAAAGGAAUUGAGGGGGGCCCGCACAAGCGGAGGGAACAUGUGGUUUAAUUCGAUGAUACGGGAGGAACCUUUACCCGGGCUCAAACGGGACAGGGAAAGUUUUUGAAAGGAGGCUGUCCGCAAGGACCGGUCCCGAGGUGCUGCAUGGUUGUCGUCAGCUCGUGCCGUGAGGUGUCGGCUUAAGUGCCAUAACGAGCGCAACCCCCACCGACAGUUGCCAGCAGGCAAAGCUGGGGACUCUGUCGGGACUGCCGGCGCAAGCUGCGAGGAAGGCGGGGAUGACGUCAAAUCAGCACGGCCCUUACGUCCGGGGCGACACACGUGUUACAAUGGCAGGCACAGAGAGAAGCCACCCCGCAAGGGGGAGCGGAACUUGAAAUCCUGUCUCAGUUCGGAUCGGAGUCUGCAACCCGACACCGUGAAGCUGGAUUCGCUAGUAAUCGCGCAUCAGCCAUGGCGCGGUGAAUACGUUCCCGGGCCUUGCACACACCGCCCGUCA